rnacentral:rRNA from 18 species
CAGACCAUCGGCUAAGGUCCCAAAAUAUAUGUUAAGUUGAUCAAACGUUGUGCGAUUGCAUAGACAGCUAGGAUGUUGGCUUGGAAGCAGCCAUUCAUUUAAAGAGUGCGUAACAGCUCACUAGUCGAGCGGUCGAGCAUGGAUAAUAAUCGGGCAUAAACAUAUUACCGAAGCUAUGGACUUGUAAAAGUGGUAGGGGAGCAUUGUAACCUGCGUAGAAGGUGUGUUGUGAGGCAUGCUGGAGUGGUUACAAAAGAAAAUGUAGGCAUAAGUAACGAUAAUGCGGGUGAGAAACCCGCACACCGAUAGACUAAGGUUUCCCCGGCAAUGCUAAUCAGCCGGGGGUUAGUCGGGACCUAAGGCGAACCCGAACGGGGUAGUCGAUGGACAACAGGUUAAUAUUCCUGUACUGGCAUAUUCAGUGAUGGGGUGACGGAGUAGUGAAAGCGCUGCGGACUGACGGAAUAGUCCGUUGAAGGGUGUAGGUAUUAAGACAGUAGGUAAAUCCGCUGACUUAGCUGAACCUGAUAGUACCACAAUCCUUCGGGAGCGUGGAUAAUGCGCCUAAUCAGACUUCCAAGAAAAACCUCUAAACUUAUGGAUAUGGCACCCGUACCGUAAACCGACACAGGUAGUCAAGGAGAGAAUCCUGAGGUGCUCGAGUGAAUCAUGGCUAAGGAACUAGGCAAAAUUGCCCUGUAACUUCGGGAGAAGGGGCCCCC